UACCAGCACCAGGGCAAUUAAUGUACUAUUCUCGUCUCUCUGGGUUUGCAGCUGAGAAUAACUUUAGCCCUCAAGUGAAUGCAGUCAGACCCGAGAUGAGUUCUCCUUUGCUUAGCGAGUGGCUGGCUGAAUUGAUCUGGCUAUUCUUGUUCUGAUAGACGAGACUCACGUGAGGUGGAGAGAAUGUCCAAACCACAGCUGUAAGGCAUAUUCAUCAAACUGUAGGGCCAUCCGGUGAAGGAGAAAUGAGCACCGCAAACGUUAUUCAGGAUGCAAUCCAGGAUCCUACAUCGCAUUUACUUGUCCUGUCUCCUUCCUCAGCCUUUGUCUUCCAUGACCUUAGGAUCUUUGAAAACUACUGCUGUGUGGCUGACAGGGUCAUCAUGCUCCAGCCGAGUGUCAGGCCUGUGCCUCUGAGGUGGGAGAGCUGAGUUCAGGACACUGGUCCACUGGAGACCUCCCAGCUCCACGUAAUAUCAAAUGGCAAAAGCUCUCUCAGAGAUCUGCAUCUCAAAGCUAAGACCCAGCACCACUCAACAACCAGCAAGCUACAGUGUUGGACACCCUAUGCCAAACAACUAGCAAGACAGGAACACAACCCCACCCAUUAACAGAGAGGCUGCCUAAAAUCAUAAUAAGGUCACAGACACCCCCAAAACACACCACUGGACAUGCUUCUGCCCACCAGAAAGACAAGAUCUAGCCUCAUCCACCAGAACACAGGCACGAGUCUUCUCCACCAGCCUACACAACACACUGAAGCAACCUAAGCCACUGGGGGCAGACACCAAAAACGAUGGAAACUACGAACCUGCAGCACUGGAAAAGAAGACCCAAACACAGUAAGUUAAGGGAAAUGAGAAGACAGAGAAACACACAGCAGAUGAAGGAGCAAGGUAAAA